rnacentral:rRNA from 1 species
UACGGGGGGAGCAAGCGUUGUUCGGAUUUACUGGGCGUAAAGGGCGCGUAGGCGGCCAGCACAAGUCAGUUGUGAAAUCUCCGAGCUUAACUCGGAAAGGUCAACUGAUACUGUGCGGCUAGAGUGCGGAAGGGGCAACUGGAAUUCUUGGUGUAGCGGUGAAAUGCGUAGAUAUCAAGAGGAACACCUGCGGCGAAGGCGGGUUGCUGGGCCGACACUGACGCUGAUGCGCGAAAUCGUGGGGAGCGAACAGG